rnacentral:rRNA from 1 species
AGAGUUUGAUCAUGGCUCAGAAUCAACGCUGGCGGCGCGCUUAACACAUGCAAGUCGCACGAGAAAGGGGCAACCUGAGUAAAGUGGCGUACUGGUGAGUAACACGUGGAUCAUCUACCUUUUAGUGGGGAAUAACCCUGGGAAACCGGGGCUAAUACCGCAUAAGCCUGUGAAGGGAAAGCAGCAAUGCGCUGAAAGAG